rnacentral:rRNA from 1 species
GUCUACAGCCAUACCACCCUGAAUGCAUCUAAUCUCAUCUGAUCUCGGAAACCACCCAGGGUUGGGCCUGGUUAGCACUUGGAUGGGAGAAUUACAUGCUGAGUGCU